rnacentral:rRNA from 1 species
CAGCCGCCGCGGUAAUACGAAGGGUGCAAGCGUUAAUCGGAAUUACUGGGCGUAAAGCGUGCGUAGGCGGUGAGUUAAGUCUGCUGUGAAAUCCCCGGGCUCAACCUGGGAAUGGCAGUGGAUACUGGCUCGCUAGAGUGUGUCAGAGGAUGGUGGAAUUCCCGGUGUAGCGGUGAAAUGCGUAGAGAUCGGGAGGAACAUCAGUGGCGAAGGCGGCCAUCUGGGACAACACUGACGCUGAGGCACGAAAGCGUGGGGAGCAAACAGGAUUAGAGACCCCCGUAGUCCCUGUCUCUUAUAA